UGCCUUUCUGCAGAAGCUCGGUCCGGUUGGCCAUCAGAAAGAUCCAGUACGCUCCAGAUAAAGGAGGCGCAGCUCCAUCGGCCGAAACCACCUGUGAAUUCAUCAUGUCUGAUAAAAACCGCUGCACAUGCGGGUCAGUCUGGAGAAAGAGACGUAUUACCAUGGAGAGGAGAUCAACAUCAGCGUGGACAUCGACAACAGCUCCAACAGGAACAUGAAGGACUUGUCAGUCUCAGUGGAGCAGGUCACUAAUGUGGUGCUUUACUCUAACGACAAGUACGUCAAAACUGUGGCCUAUGAGGAAACCAUGUGAGUACAA